GACAUAGGGGGCAAGCGUUGCUCGGAAUUACUGGGCGUAAAGGGCGCGUAGGCGGGAUGGCAAGUCGGUCGUGAAAUCCCCGGGCUCAACCUGGGAAUGGCGAUGGAUACUGGCGAGCUAGAGUGUGUCAGAGGAUGGUGGAAUUCCCGGUGUAGCGGUGAAAUGCGUAGAGAUCGGGAGGAACAUCAGUGGCGAAGGCGGCCAUCUGGGACAACACUGACGCUGAAGCACGAAAGCGUGGAGAGCAAACAGG
rnacentral:rRNA from 1 species